CGCGGCCUAUCAGCUUGUUGGUGGGGUGAUGGCCUACCAAGGCGACGACGGGUAGCCGGCCUGAGAGGGUGACCGGCCACACUGGGACUGAGACACGGCCCAGACUCCUACGGGAGGCAGCAGUGGGGAAUAUUGGACAAUGGGCGAAAGCCUGAUCCAGCAACGCCGCGUGAGGGAUGACGGCCUUCGGGUUGUAAACCUCUUUCAGUAGGGACGAAGCUAACGUGACGGUACCUACAGAAGAAGCACCGGCCAACUACGUGCCAGCAGCCGCGGUAAUACGUAGGGUGCGAGCGUUGUCCGGAAUUAUUGGGCGUAAAGGGCUCGUAGGCGGUUUGUCGCGUCAGGAGUGAAAACUCGGGGCUUAACUCCGAGCCUGCUUCCGAUACGGGCUGACUAGAGGUAUGCAGGGGAGAACGGAAUUCCUGGUGUAGCGGUGAAAUGCGCAGAUAUCAGGAGGAACACCGGUGGCGAAGGCGGUUCUCUGGGCAUUACCUGACGCUGAGGAGCGAAAGUGUGGGGAGCGAACAGGAUUAGAUACCCUGGUAGUCCACACCGUAAACGUUGGGCGCUAGGUGUGGGACUCAUUCCACGAGUUCCGUGCCGCAGCUAACGCAUUAAGCGCCCCGCCUGGGGAGUACGGA
rnacentral:rRNA from 1 species